rnacentral:rRNA from 1 species
GAAAGCCUGAUGCAGCCAUGCCGCGUGUAUGAAGAAGGCCUUCGGGUUGUAAAGUACUUUCAGUUGUGAGGAAGGGGGUAACGUUAAUAGCGUUAUCUCUUGACGUUAGCAACAGAAGAAGCACCGGCUAACUCCGUGCCAGCAGCCGCGGUAAUACGGAGGGUGCGAGCGUUAAUCGGAAUUACUGGGCGUAAAGCGCAUGCAGGUGGUUCAUUAAGUCAGAUGUGAAAGCCCGGGGCUCAACCUCGGAACUGCAUUUGAAACUGGUGAACUAGAGUGCUGUAGAGGGGGGUAGAAUUUCAGGUGUAGCGGUGAAAUGCGUAGAGAUCUGAAGGAAUACCAGUGGCGAAGGCGGCCCCCUGGACAGACACUGACACUCAGAUGCGAAAGCGUGGGGAGCAAACAGGAUUAGAUACCCUGGUAGUCCACGCCGUAAACGAUGUCUACUUGGAGGUUGUGGCCUUGAGCCGUGGCUUUCGGAGCUAACGCGUUAAGUAGACCGCCUGGGGAGUACGGUCGCAAGAUUAAAACUCAAAUGAAUUGACGGGGGCCCGCACAAGCGGUGGAGCAUGUGGUUUAAUUCGAUGCAACGCGAAGAACCUUACCUACUCUUGACAUCCAGAGAAGCCAGCGGAGACGCAGGUGUGCC